UACGGAGGGUGCAAGCGUUAUCCGGAUUCACUGGGUUUAAAGGGUGCGUAGGCGGUUGGGUAAGUCUGAUGUGAAAUCUCACAGCUUAACUGUGAAACUGCAUUGGAUACUAUCCAACUCGAGGAAUGGAGGGGAGACUGGAAUACUUGGUGUAGCAGUGAAAUGCGUAGAUAUCAAGUGGAACACCAGUGGCGAAGGCGAGUCUCUGGACAUUUCCUGACGCUGAGGCACGAAAGCCAGGGGAGCAAACGGG
rnacentral:rRNA from 1 species